rnacentral:rRNA from 1 species
UACGGGGGGGGGCAAGCGUUGUUCGGAAUUACUGGGCGUAAAGGGCUCGUAGGUGGCCAACUAAGUCAUACGUGAAAUCCCUCGGCUUAACCGGGGAACUGCGUCUGAUACUGGAUGGCUUGAGGUUGGGAGAGGGAUGCGGAAUUCCAGGUGUAGCGGUGAAAUGCGUAGAUAUCUGGAGGAACACCGGUGGCGAAGGCGGCAUCCUGGACCAAUUCUGACACUGAGGAGCGAAAGCCAGGGGAGCAAACGGG